rnacentral:rRNA from 1 species
UACGUAGGCAGCGAGCGUUUGUUCGGAGUUACUGGGCGUAAAGAGUGCGUAGGCGGUUUUCUAAGUUUGGUGUGAAAUCUCCCCGGCUUAACUGGGAGGGUGCGCCGAAAACUGGAAGGCUUGAGUAUGGGAGAGGUAAGCGGAAUUCCUGGUGUAGCGGUGAAAGUGCGUAGAUAUCAGGAGGAACACCUGCGGUGUAGACGGCUUACUGGACCAUAACUGACGCUGAGGCACGAAAGCGUGGGUAGCAAACAGGAUUAG